rnacentral:rRNA from 1 species
UACGUAGGGGGCGAGCGUUGUCCGGAUUUACUGGGCGUAAAGCGCGUUCAGGCGGUUUGGCAAGUCGGGCAUGAAAUCUCUCGGCUCAACCGGGAGAGGUUGUCCGAUACUGCUGGACUUGAGGGCAGUAGAGGGUGGUGGAAUUCCGGGUGUAGUGGUGAAAUGCGUAGAUAUCCGGAGGAACACCAGUGGCGAAAGCGGCCACCUGGACUGCACCUGACGCUGACACGCGAAAGCUAGGGGAGCAAACAGG